rnacentral:rRNA from 1 species
GGAAUUGUUCGCAAUGGGCGCAAGCCUGACGACGCAACGCCGCGUGGAGGAUGAAGGUCUUCGGAUUGUAAACUCCUGUUGCUCGGGAAGAAUAGCUCCGACCUACCACGUCGGAGUGUGACGGUACCGGGUGAGGAAGCCCCGGCUAACCCUGUGCCAGCAGCCGCGGUAAUACAGAGGGGGCAAGCGUUGUUCGGAAUUACUGGGCGUAAAGGGCGCGUAGGCGGCCUGUUAAGUCGAACGUGAAAUCCCCGGGCUCAACCCGGGAACUGCGUCCGAUACUGGCAGGCUUGAAUUCGGGAGAGGGAUGUGGAAUUCCAGGUGUAGCGGUGAAAUGCGUAGAUAUCUGGAGGAACACCGGUGGCGAAGGCGGCAUCCUGGACCGAUAUUGACGCUGAUGCGCGAAAGCCAGGGGAGCAAAC